UUUCCGUAGGUGAACUGCGGAAGGAUCAUUAA
rnacentral:rRNA from 1 species